CAAAGGUGCUGGGACGCAUGCGCCAGAGACUGGGCCCGGGAGCCGCCGGGACGCCGGCUGCGCGGCUAGCUGGAUGUCUAGUAAAGCCAAGGCUAAGAUUUUGGGAAUGUUGACCCACUGCCCUCAGCUUCUAAUUCCCAGUGGGCGGAGCAGAGGGCUUCUGUUCCUUCAGCCUUAGGCCAGGUGGUUUCACUGGGGAGACGUUGGUGGCUCCCUUGUGGCCGAGAGAAAGGCACUGAAAAUAACUCCGUCUUAAGAUGUCUGAAAGCGACAGCUCUGCACCUGUCAUACAAGUUAAACUCAUCCCAUGCAGUACUUGAACUUCCCAUCUCAGCCUCAGCCUGGUACUGAACAUUUGUCAGAAAGAUGAUGUUGUCCUUUGGAGGAAAGAAGCCUCCCUUUUGAUGAGAAGAAUAAGCCUCAUUCUGAUUCAACAGCAGAGAUCAAAGAAAAGACUUCUGUUUGCUGGCCAUCAGAUAUAUGUUAUCUGUGUUUAAAGAACUGAAAAACACACAUCAAAGGAACAUUCUCUUGGAAAGAGAGAAGUUUCAGCGGGAUGCUGGUGAUUUGGUGAGAAAGAAGCAACUAUUUCUGUGAUUUAAUUUCAACGUGAGCAUUGAGAAGGCAACCCUUCACCCUUUUACUACUGUUGAUAACUCCAUGCUUCCAAGAACUAAUGGGUUGAAGAACUUAGCACUUGUGAUGGAUUAGUCAAACAAAAAUUAUGAAGUUUUCAGUUACAGAAGCAUUGAGAAUUCCCUGUGGCUGGAUAAGGGCAAAUCUUUAAGGCAAGUUGAAGACCCAGGCUGCCCAUGUGGACAUCAAUACUCCCACAGAGCACUCGCCAUGAAGAAAAGUGUGGGUUUGCUGUCUUUUCAUCAAAACUCCUAGAAUUUGGCUGACUGCCUGGUUUAUCACAGGACAUUAGUCAGCCCACAAAUCCCACAUUUGUUUAUUCAGUCCAGGGCAAGUGAAUGCUGCCAUUCUCUCAUCUCCUUUGUUGGCAACACUUUGUUAACCUGAAUUGAGUUCUGCAACACAAAAUGAAGUGACUAAUCUUUUGAGGGGUUCCCCCUCCCAGGUUCUUGUAUGAGCAAUUAAAUCUAUAUACCGCAAA